rnacentral:rRNA from 1 species
GCAGCAUGGUCUUAGCUUGCUAAGGCCGAUGGCGACCGGCGCACGGGUGAGUAACACGUAUCCAACCUGCCGUCUACUCUUGGACAGCCUUCUGAAAGGAAGAUUAAUACAAGAUGGCAUCAUGAGUCCGCAUGUUCACAUGAUUAAAGGUAUUCCGGUAGACGAUGGGGAUGCGUUCCAUUUGAUAGUAGGCGGGGUAACGGCCCACCUAGUCUUCGAUGGAUAGGGGUUCUGAGAGGAAGGUCCCCCACAUUGGAACUGAGACACGGUCCAAACUCCUACGGGAGGCAGCAGUGAGGAAUAUUGGUCAAUGGGCGAGAGCCUGAACCAGCCAAGUAGCGUGAAGGAUGACUGCCCUAUGGGUUGUAAACUUCUUUUAUAAAGGAAUAAAGUCGGGUAUGUAUACCCGUUUGCAUGUACUUUAUGAAUAAGGAUCGGCUAACUCCGUGCCAGCAGCCGCGGUAAUACGGAGGAUCCGAGCGUUAUCCGGAUUUAUUGGGUUUAAAGGGAGCGUAGAUGGAUGUUUAAGUCAGUUGUGAAAGUUUGCGGCUCAACCGUAAAAUUGCAGUUGAUACUGGAUAUCUUGAGUGCAGUUGAGGCAGGCGGAAUUCGUGGUGUAGCGGUGAAAUGCUUAGAUAUCACGAAGAACUCCGAUUGCGAAGGCAGCCUGCUAAGCUGCAACUGACAUUGAGGCUCGAAAGUGUGGGUA